rnacentral:rRNA from 1 species
ACGCUGGCGGCAGGCCUAACACAUGCAAGUCGAGCGGUAGAGAGAAGCUUGCUUCUCUUGAGAGCGGCGGACGGGUGAGUAAUGCCUAGGAAUCUGCCUGGUAGUGGGGGAUGACGUUCGGAAACGGACGCUAAUACCGCAUACGUCCUACGGGAGAAAGCAGGGGACCUUCGGGCCUUGCGCUAUCAGAUGAGCCUAGGUCGGAUUAGCUAGUUGGUGAGGUAAUGGCUCACCAAGGCGACGAUCCGUAACUGGUCUGAGAGGAUGAUCAGUCACACUGGAACUGAGACACGGUCCAGACUCCUACGGGAGGCAGCAGUGGGGAAUAUUGGACAAUGGGCGAAAGCCUGAUCCAGCCAUGCCGCGUGUGUGAAGAAGGUCUUCGGAUUGUAAAGCACUUUAAGUUGGGAGGAAGGGCAUUAACCUAAUACGUUAGUGUUUUGACGUUACCGACAGAAUAAGCACCGGCUAACUCUGUGCCAGCAGCCGCGGUAAUACAGAGGGUGCAAGCGUUAAUCGGAAUUACUGGGCGUAAAGCGCGCGUAGGUGGUUUGUUAAGUUGGAUGUGAGAUCCCCGGGCUCAACCUGGGAACUGCAUUCAAAACUGACUGACUAGAGUAUGGUAGAGGGUGGUGGAAUUUCCUGUGUAGCGGUGAAAUGCGUAGAUAUAGGAAGGAACACCAGUGGCGAAGGCGACCACCUGGACUAAUACGACA